AAACAAGGCAGGACGUUGUGCCUUGCACAUCUAGGGCAAUGUAGGACACGGCAGAGCAGAAGUUCUACUUCAGCGAGAUCACGGCUGGGAAGAAACUGCGUUUCACAGGCCUUUGUAAGAGAUGUUCCCGGUAGGCUGUAAGAGCACUGUUGAGAGCGAGUUGUUUCUUAGCUUCCCAAAGAGCUGGAAGCAAGACGCUUUGUGGCCUGUCUCCACUUCAGGAACAAGGCAGGACUUUGUGACUUGCACCUCUAGGGCAAAGUACGACACGUCUAAGGAGAAGUUCUACUUCAGCCAGAUCAGGGCUGGGAAGAAACUGCGUUUCACAGGCAUUUGUAAGAGAUGUCCCUGGUAGGCUGUAAGAGCACUGUGUAGAGGGAGUUGUUUCUUAGCUUCCGAAAGAGCUGGAAGCAAGGCCGUUUGUGGCUUCUCUCAUUUGGCAGCAAUGACUCAGUGCGUUGUCUUUUCCACCUCUAGAGCAAUGUAGAACAUGGCAUAGAGCAGAAGUUCCAAGGCGGUGAGAUCAUGGCUGGAAACACACUGCAUUUCAGGCCUUUGUAUGAGAGGUUCCCGGUAGAUUGUAAGAGCCCUGUGGAAAGCGAGUUCUUUCUCACCUUGCCAAAGAGCUGGAGGCGAGACGGUCUGUGGCCUGUCUCAUCUUUAGGAAGCCAAGCAGGGCUUUGUAACUUCCACCUCUACAGCAAUGUAUUACACUUCAGAGCAGAAGUUCUACUUCAGCGAGAUCAGGGGUGAGAAGAAACUGCGUUUCAUAGGAUUUGUGUGAGAUUUUACAGAAGGCUGUGAGAGCACUGUGGAGAGUGAGUUGUUUCUUACCUUCCCAAAGAGCAGGAAGAAAAACGCUUUGUGGCCUGUCUCCCCUUGAGGAAACAAGGCAGGACGUCGUGCCUUGCACCUCUUGGGCAAUGUAG
rnacentral:lncRNA from 1 species